AUGUCUGAAGGUACAAGGUACCAGUCCACUGUUGAAGAAUGGGCAAGUCUGAUCAAUGCCCCCAAGGAAGAAGAGGAUGACUUGGACAUAUAUGCAAAGAAGAAGUUGGGUCACAACUCAAUGGCUCACAUGUACAAGGAGAUUCCUGACAAGGCAGUUGAGACUCACAAGUUUGGAUCAGUUCACUUUCUGCUGUCAGGAUUGGCAACCAUCAAUUGGAUUCUGAGGCAUACUUUGUUGCCCAAGUCAGGUGACCAUAACAUGAUCAGAGGGCAUGCCAUCAACAUGCUGCAUGUGUUUGAUGUGCCCCAGAAGUUCUUGGUCAUGAGCCUCAUAGUUGAAACAAUCAAGAGGACUGUAGCAGAUCAGAAGAGGAGCUGUGGAUAUGCACCUUAG
rnacentral:rRNA from 1 species